GAGGGAUAUUGGGCAAUGGGGGAAACCCUGACCCAGCAACGCCGCGUGAGGGAAGAAGGUCUUCGGAUUGUAAACCUAAGUAGUCAGGGACGAAGGAAUGACGGUACCUGAAGAGUAAGCUCCGGCUAACUACGUGCCAGCAGCCGCGGUAAUACGUAGGGAGCGAGCGUUGUCCGGAAUUACUGGGUGUAAAGGGUGCGUAGGCGGGCUGUCAAGUCAGAUGUGAAAUACCGGGGCUUAACUCCGGGGCUGCAUUUGAAACUGAUGGUCUUGAGUGAAGUAGAGGCAGGCGGAAUUCCUAGUGUAGCGGUGAAAUGCGUAGAUAUUAGGAGGAACACCAGUGGCGAAGGCGGCCUGCUGGGCUUUAACUGACGCUGAGGCACGAAAGCAUGGGGAGCAAACAGGAUUAGAUACCCUGGUAGUCCAUGCUGUAAACGAUGAUAGCUAGGUGUGGGGGGACUGACCCCCUCCGUGCCGGAGUAAACACAAUAAGCUAUCCACCUGGGGAGUACGAUCGCAAGAUUGAAACUCAAAGGAAUUGACGGGGGCCCGCACAAGCAGUGGAGUAUGUGGUUUAAUUCGACGCAACGCGAAGAACCUUACCAGGUCUUGACAUCCAACUAACGAAGCAGAGAUGCAUCAGGUGCCCUACGGGGAAAGUUGAGACAGGUGGUGCAUGGUUGUCGUCAGCUCGUGUCGUGAGAUGUUGGGUUAAGUCCCGCAACGAGCGCAACCCUUGUUCUUAGUUGCUACGGAAGAGCACUCUAAGGAGACUGCCGUUGAGAAAACGGAGGAAGGUGGGGACGACGUCAAAUCAUCAUGCCCUUUAUGACCUGGGCUACACACGUACUACAAUGGCCGUGAACAAAGGGAAGCAAGACCGCGAGGUGGAGCAAAACCCGAAAAACGGUCCCAGUUCGGAUUGCAGGCUGCAACCCGCCUGUAUGAAGUUGGAAUUGCUAGUAAUCGCGGAUCAGCAUGCCGCGGUGAAUACGUUCCCG
rnacentral:rRNA from 1 species